rnacentral:rRNA from 1 species
GACGAACCGUGCGAACGUUGUUCGGAUUCACUGGGCUUAAAGGGCGCGUAGGCGGGUUGUCAAGUCAGGGGUGAAAGCCUCCAGCUCAACUGGAGAAGUGCCUUUGAUACUGAUGAUCUUGAGGGAGGUAGGGGCAUGUGGAACUUCCGGUGGAGCGGUGAAAUGCGUAGAUAUCGGAAGGAACGCCGGUGGCGAAAGCGACGUGCUGGACCUCUUCUGACGCUGAGGCGCGAAAGCUAGGGGAGCGAACGGGAUUAGAUACCCCGGUAGUCCUAGCCCUAAACGAUGGGUACUAGAUUGUGGACUUAACAUGGGUUCACAGUCGAAGCAAAAGUGUUAAGUACCCCGCCUGGGGAGUAUGGUCGCAAGGCUGAA